GGCUCUAGUGCUUAUUGAUGGUUCUUUUCCUCGCAGCAAGAUAAACAAGCCUAAAAGCCUCAAUUAGCCCUUAAAAACCCAAAGAGCAAGCUAAAGCAUACAAUGCUCUGAAGAUGAUUCAUAACGUCCUGCAUUAACGUUGUCAGUUACAAUCCAUCACAGGGUAAUAGUCUUUAAUAAAUCUCUGAGUAAUUGAGAUGAAUCCCUCAUUUCAAUGACAAGUCUGGUUUUUAAGACCCAAUUACUACUAUGAGCUCUCCCUGGCCCAGCAGAGUGCGGGGUUCUCUGCAGCGGCACAAGAGUGAAGAUAAGAGGCUGGCGAGAUGGACUCGGUCCAAAAAAGCAGGAAAGAUAUCUUCCCCCUCGACGGCACAGCAUCCGAGGGCAGCGUGAUUUACGCUUGUCAGCGAGGUGGACCAGCGCGGAAGAAGGAUGAUGGCCGGCCUCUAUUCUGAUGUUCAAUCCUAUUUCAGCCUGCUGAUUUAAUGCCGGCCAAAUGCAAUCACUACACAAACAAGAGGUAGGGAAUCAUCGACUAAUGGAAGUCCUAAUUGAGAGGCGUCCACUUGUCAUGAG